AUGAUGAUGAGCCUAAACUGCGCAAGGACUCGUGUCCCGGGCGCUCCAUGUGACCAUCUCGGGAGAGGUCUCCGGCUUGUUGUAACCCAGAGGAGUAACCCACUGCCUCCUGCAGCUCUUUCAGACCCAGUUGCAAAGAAGAGCUGCAUGCUCAACCUGCUGUUGUCCCUGCCGGAGGCCAACCUGCUCACCUUCCUUUUCCUUCUAGACCACCUGGAAAGGGUGGCAGAGAAGGAGGCAGUCAAUAAGAUGUCCCUGCACAACCUUGCCACUGUCUUUGGCCCCACGCUGCUCCAGCCCUCCGAGAAAGAGAGCAAGCUCCCUGCCAAUCCAAGCCAUCACCAUGACUGACAGCAGGUCCUUGGAGGUCAUGUCCCAGAUCCAAAUACCUAAUAAGAUGCUGGAAUGUAAUCCCUGGACAAUCCGUGUCCUGGCAGCAUUUGGUCUUCCUCUGAGCACCUGGCUCCGCUGUUCUCAGGAGUGGGUUCCGAAGUCUCUGGAGAACAGGAUACGUGGAGGGUUAGGAAGGGGCCAGGCCUAGAGAUGGGAGACUCCCUCCCAGAGCAGGUGGAGGCACAGGACCAUUUGCUACCCCAUCUGCUGGCACCUGUGGGGGAGCCCAGGCAUUCUUUGUAAACCAUCCUGACCACCUGGCUCAAAGAAAACAGAAGCGUGGAGGCCGCCAAGUGUUUUCGAGAAAUAACCCCAUGAACAUUGCAUCACUUUUUUAGAAAGAGGGGCUUGGGGCAGGCAGAGGAGAGAAGGGAGAGCAAACUGAGAGCCAAGUUUCCAGAUGGUCCUGCAGGAAGAGAGGAUGCAGCUGCCCAGAAGGAAGCAGGAUCACAUUUAUGGAAGUGUGUGGGGUCCCUGGAUGACACCAGCACCCAGUGUGGCUCUGUCUGGCAACCGCUCCCAAGGUGGAAGGAGUGGGUGUCCCCUGUGUGUCAGUGGGCAGCUCCUGCUGAGCCAGCAGCUCAUCAGGGAGCCUGACAGAGGGGCCAUGCGCCUGACACUCCUCUCUGCUUGUGGACCUGGUGAGGCAGGGAGCAGAAAACAGAGCCACUUGAAGGCUUUCUGUCUGCGUCUGUGUGUGGUGUGGAUUUAGUUGUGCUUUUUUCUUGCUGGGAGAGCACAGCCACCAUUUACAAGCAGUGUCACCCUCAUGGGUGGUGAUGACAGAACAGGAGCCUCUGCUCUCUGUACCUAUCUG